AAAGUUUGACAGACAAUCGCUGGUGGCAUAAGCCACGAGAGGAAAGUCCGGGCUCCAUAGGGCAGGAUGCUGGAUAACGUCCAGUCAGCGCGAGUUGAAGGAUAGUGCCACAGAAAUGGACCGCCGAUGGCCGCUUGCGGCACAGGCAAGGAUGGAACCGAGGUGUAAGAGACCCCGAGGAACGCUGGUGACUUCGUUCCUGGUAAACCCCAUCUGGAGCAAGACCUAAAGGGACACAGCUUCUUCGCGAAGCAGCCUUAGCCCGAGGCGUGUCUAGGUUGGUCGCUGGAGCUGGAUAGCAAUGUUCGGCCUAGAUAGAUGAUUGUCGCUUUUAGUGGGAGGGUAGUUCCCGUCUGUACCACGAAUAGCACAGAACCCGGCUUACGGAAAACUUUCCCC
rfam:Paenibacillus polymyxa SC2, complete genome.